rnacentral:lncRNA from 1 species
GGCUAUCAAUUCGUAUAAAAUAGUAAAAAAAUCUUUAGACUAAAGUCUAGAUCUUUAGGCUUAAUUAAUUCAUAUACUAAUUAGAUCUUAUUUUUCUUUCAGAUAUGGCUACUUCUUUAUCGCUCCGAUCGCUAUUGGAUAGCGAUAAGCUAACAGGAUCCAAUUUUGAUAGCUGGUAUCAAAAAUUGAACAUUAUUCUAGAACAC